CAUUUGCCUUAUAAUUGAAGGCUAGUAUGAAUGGUUUGACAAGAAUGUAGCUGUCUCUUUGUAAUUAAACAGAAUUUUAUUUAUAGGUGAAGAAGCCUAUAUUAAAUUAAAAGACAAGAAGACCCUAUCGAGCUUGAAAGAAACUAAUAGAUUAAACAAUUAAUGAUAUCAGAAAAUUAACUAUUAGAAAUUUUAGUUGGGGCGACUGAGGAACAAAAAAAGCUUCCUUUAAAAAAUUAAAAACUAAGCAAGUAUUGAUCCAAAACAUUUUGAUUAAAGGAAUUAGUUACCGUAGGGAUAACAGCAUUAUCUUUUUUAAGAGCUCUUAUCGAAAAAAAGGUUUGUGACCUCGAUGUUGGACCAGAAUAUCCUAAAGAUGCAGCAGUCUUUAAGGGUUGGUCUGUUCGACCAUUAAAAUUCU
rnacentral:rRNA from 1 species